AAAGAACUUUUCUGGGGGGGGAGGGGGGGGGGUAUUUUUCUUUUUUUAUUUUCCUUAGGGGGGGGAAACCCAAGAAAGGAAGGUUAAACCAAAAAACCUAGGGCAAGGGGGGCCUUCGGCCUCCCGGUCGGGAUAGCCUAGGGGGAUAACUAGUUGGGAGGUAAGGCUCCCCAGGCGACGAUCCCUAGUUGUCUGAGAGGAUGAUCAGCCCCCCGGAAAUGAGCCCCGGUCCAGACUCUUCGGGAGGCAGCAGUGGGGAAUAUUGCACAAUGGCGCAAGCCUGAUGCAGCCAUGCCGCGUGUAUGAAGAAGCCUUCGGGUUGUAAAGUACUUUCAGUCGUGAGGAAGGUGGUGUUGUUAAUAGCAGCAUCAUUUGACGUUAGCGACAGAAGAAGCACCGGCUAACUCCGUGCCAGCAGCCGCGGUAAUACGGAGGGUGCGAGCGUUAAUCGGAAUUACUGGGCGUAAAGCGCAUGCAGGUGGUGGAUUAAGUCAGAUGUGAAAGCCCGGGGCUCAACCUCGGAACCGCAUCUGAAACUGGUUCACUAGAGUACUGUAGAGGGGGGUAGAAUUUCAGGUGUAGCGGUGAAAUGCGUAGAGAUCUGAAGGAAUACCGGUGGCGAAGGCGGCCCCCUGGACAGAUACUGACACUCAGAUGCGAAAGCGUGGGGAGCAAACAGGAUUAGAUACCCUGGUAGUCCACGCCGUAAACGAUGUCUACUUGGAGGUUGUGGCCUUGAGCCGUGGCUUUCGGAGCUAACGCGUUAAGUAGACCGCCUGGGGAGUACGGUCGCAAGAUUAAAACUCAAAUGAAUUGACGGGGGCCCGCACAAGCGGUGGAGCAUGUGGUUUAAUUCGAUGCAACGCGAAGAACCUUACCUACUCUUGACAUCUACAGGAUCCUGCGGAGACGCGGGAGUGCCUUCGGGAACUGUAAGACAGGUGCUGCAUGGCGGUCGUCAGCUCGUGUUGUGAAAUGUUGGGUUAAGUCCCGCAACGAGCGCAACCCUUAUCCUUGUUUGCCAGCAAGUAAUGUUGGGAACUCCAGGGAGACUGCCGGUGAUAAACCGGAGGAAGGUGGGGACGACGUCAAGUCAUCAUGGCCCUUACGAGUAGGGCUACACACGUGCUACAAUGGCGCAUACAGAGGGCAGCAAGCUAGCGAUAGUGAGCGAAUCCCAAAAAGUGCGUCGUAGUCCGGAUUGGAGUCUGCAACUCGACUCCAUGAAGUCGGAAUCGCUAGUAAUCGUAGAUCAGAAUGCUACGGUGAAUACGUUCCCGGGCCUUGUACACACCGCCCGUCACACCAUGGGAGUGGGCUGCAAAAGAAGUGGGUAGUUUAACCUUUCGGGGAGGACGCUCACCACUUUGGUUCCGGGGGG
rnacentral:rRNA from 1 species